GGGGAGGAGCCCAGAGCCUGAAUCAGUGUGUGUGUUAGUGGAAGCGUCUGGAAAGGCGUGCGAUACAGGGUGACAGCCCCGUACACAAAAAUGCACAUAUUGUGAGCUCGAUGAGUAGGGCGGGACACGUGGUAUCCUGUCUGAAUAUGGGGGGACCAUCCUCCAAGGCUAAAUACUCCUGACUGACCGAUAGUGAACCAGUACCGUGAGGGAAAGGCGAAAAGAACCCCGGCGAGGGGAGUGAAAAAGAACCUGAAACCGUGUACGUACAAGCAGUGGGAGCCUCUUAAUGGGGUGACUGCGUACCUUUUGUAUAAUGGGUCAGCGACUUAUAUUCUGUAGCAAGGUUAACCGAAUAGGGGAGCCGAAGGGAAACCGAGUCUUAACUGGGCGUUAAGUUGCAGGGUAUAGACCCGAAACCCGGUGAUCUAGCCAUGGGCAGGUUGAAGGUUGGGUAACACUAACUGGAGGACCGAACCGACUAAUGUUGAAAAAUUAGCGGAUGACUUGUGGCUGGGGGUGAAAGGCCAAUCAAACCGGGAGAUAGCUGGUUCUCCCCGAAAGCUAUUUAGGUAGCGCCUCGUGAAUUCAUCUCCGGGGGUAGAGCACUGUUUCGGCAAGGGGGUCAUCCCGACUUACCAACCCGAUGCAAACUGCGAAUACCGGAGAAUGUUAUCACGGGAGACACACGGCGGGUGCUAACGUCCGUCGUGAAGAGGGAAACAACCCAGACCGCCAGCUAAGGUCCCAAAGUCAUGGUUAAGUGGGAAACGAUGUGGGAAGGCCCAGACAGCCAGGAUGUUGGCUUAGAAGCAGCCAUCAUUUAAAGAAAGCGUAAUAGCUCACUGGUCGAGUCGGCCUGCGCGGAAGAUGUAACGGGGCUAAACCAUGCACCGAAGCUGCGGCAGCGACACUAUGUGUUGUUGGGUAGGGGAGCGUUCUGUAAGCCUGUGAAGGUGGCCUGUGAGGGUUGCUGGAGGUAUCAGAAGUGCGAAUGCUGACAUAAGUAACGAUAAAGCGGGUGAAAAGCCCGCUCGCCGGAAGACCAAGGGUUCCUGUCCAACGUUAAUCGGGGCAGGGUGAGUCGACCCCUAAGGCGAGGCCGAAAGGCGUAGUCGAUGGGAAACAGGUUAAUAUUCCUGUACUUGGUGUUACUGCGAAGGGGGGACGGAGAAGGCUAUGUUGGCCGGGCGACGGUUGUCCCGGUUUAAGCGUGUAGGCUGGUUUUCCAGGCAAAUCCGGAAAACCAAGGCUGAGGCGUGAUGA
rnacentral:rRNA from 1 species